CUGACUGGUGGGAGUGACAGGCCUCCUCAUCCUGUGAAGGGGCCCCCAGCAGGCUGCUGCUUUCCCCUCAGGUUCUCAUUUCAGGCACUGACUCCCAUAAACAGAGCUGUCCUGGGGGCUGAAUUCCGGCCUACCGACUUUUGGCUUGCACAAUGUUUAAUUAGUUGUCAGAAUUUAAAUAUUAGGAGAUUUUACAGCUUCUCAAACAAACAAAACAAACAAGCAAGCAAACGAGUGAAAAACCCCGCAAAAUUCAACAAUCCCAGGCUGGGGCACAUUAUACCCCCUGGCCUGCACUGAUGGGCUAUUUCCUGCCUGGUUCCUGUAGUGUCUCUGGAAGUUUAAUGCUUUGGCACCCAGGUCACAUCUCCCAGGUCCCUCUCCCCCCCAUGCCUCUCCACACGCCUGUGCUGAGCACCUCCUCUGUGCCAGCUCUGGGUUUGGUGGUCCAGAGCCAGAGGGGCCCUCGAGAGGGGCCACGGACAAUUUAUAGCUUGUGUGGCUGUGGACAUGUGUCUUUUUGGCCCUCUUGGUCUUCUGAUAAGGACCACCCCCCCAUUUCCUUUUGGGGGACUGACUCUCCCCCAUCCUUCGGCCCUACAGUUGAAGUGGGCCUGACCGUUCCCUGGCUCCUAGUGGGCACCUGGCUGCCAGGAGAGGCUGUGGUGAAUGGUUGAGGGGUGCUCAUAGGGUCCAGCCGAAUCAAUCAGAACCACCAUGCAGCUUCUGGACCACCUGAGAACGAGAAGUGUCUUUCUGCAGGUUUUACCGAGCUGGUGGAAUGGGGCCUGGGGAGCGGCUGACGCCCCUUUGGAAGAGCUCUCUGACAUGGAGCCCCCAGGGGGCAGCAGAGCUGAGAGCCAGAUCUUCUCUGUGCUUGGUGUCUCCUUGCUGUCACCUCCCCAGAGGCCAUCCCUGCCCACUCCAGAUGGUGAAACUGAGGCCUAAGGAGGGGAAAAGACCAGGCCAGUCCCCUGAUUCCUGUUCCGGUGUGGGAUCUGGAGCCCAGCUGAGGACCAGUCUGGUUUCUGCUAGGGUGAAGUCCUUCUGCCCACAGGGUACACUCUCUGUCACAUGACCCUGCUGCCCUGGCCAUGGGGUCUGGGUUGGACUUGCUGCCUGCUGCUAGAGGGGCCACACGAGGCUGAGCCCCUUGUCCACCACCACCUGCCCCGGCAGCUUCUCAUCCAUGGUCACCGGUGAGCGCUGGAGGAGCCGAUCAGUGAAAACGGUCCUUGGCCAGGGACUGCUUAGCCAUCUCAAGCAUGGAACCGGAUCUACCGGUUUAAUAAAAGUUAUUUGGAAAUUUAAUGCAAGUCCAAUAUUGAAUAUCAUCUUUAAAUACUUUGCACUUUAUUCUUCUUGUCAUACUUUGCACUAUGAAAGCAGUAUCAUGCUGUUUUCACCCUGCCUCAUGUGGACGUCCCCUCCUGCCCUUCCUGCUCAGGCUUUUCUAGGGGGACAGUGGUGUGAAAAAGGUUGGGUUGUGCAGCCUGGGGAUGCAUGGAGUUCCUGCAUUUGUCAUGUUCUUCCCCUCCCUCCUGUAGUUAAUUCCUAUGCAUCCUUCAGCCUCUGCUCAGCCGCCAGCCUCCCUUGACCAGUAAGGUCAGUGCCCCUGCUACGUGUACUCCACGAGAGCUGUUGUUGAACAGACAUGAAUACAGAUCUUACUGUAAGGUACUUUACAGACCAUAGCUCAUUCAAGUCUCCCAACGGAUGAAUAGGGCAGGACUAUUACUGUCCCUCUUUUAUAGAUGAGAAGACUGAGGCCCACAGGCGUUUAGUGACUUGGCCAAGCUCAUCCAUCUGGGAAGUGGUAGAGUGGAGAUUCCAACCCAGACAGCGUGGCUCCAGGUCCACGCUCUUAGUCAUCAUAUAAUGUUGCCUUGUGGUACUUCCUGCACCACAUUUGGUAAAGCUAUAUUUAGUUCUGGUAUUAGUAGACUAGUGUGACCUCUGGUCACAAGGCCUGGCCCUGGGUAGGUGCUCAAAAUAUAUUGGUUAAAUAAAUGAAUGAAUAAAAACAAUCAUUCUCCCUUUGCCUGAUGAAAAUAUCCACCCCACUCCAAGUUCCCCUUUCAAGGAAUAAAGGGAGCCCUGGUGGUGCAGUAGUUAAGCAUUCGGCUGCUAAGUGAAAGGUAGGUGGUUUGAACCCACCAGCCUCUCUGUAGGAGAAGGAUGUGGCAGUCUGCCUCCGUAAAGAUAAUAGCCUUGGAAACCCCAUGGGGAAGUUCUAUCCUGUUCUAUAGGUUUGCUAUGAGUUGGAAUCGACUCGACAGCAAUGGGGUUUUUGGUUUAAGGCUAGUGGUUUAAGCUCUAGACCAGGCCCACUGCCCAGGACACUGAUGGAUGAUGGGUGCUCAGAGAGCAGAAGUCAGUCUCCCGGGCCGGCUAGAAGACAGGGAGGCCAAUUCUGCCUGAAGGAGCCAGAGAAGGCUUCCCUGAGGAUGUGACAUUGGGAUAGUUCUGAAGGAUGAGUAGAAGUUCACUGAAGCACAGAAAUCCAGACUGAUGGGAUCUGGGGUUGGAAGUAUCACUGUGGUGAAGGCUCUGCCUCAGCUUCGAACAGCUCCCCAUUCCUUCAGGUUGGGAGAGGCAAAGCAGAAAAAUAGGAACAGCAACUGGGAAAUGUACAGAUGACCGUGUACCAGGAAAACAGUCUAAUGUUUUCAGUUGUCCCUUCUGACAAACCAUUUUGUGAUUUUUAAAGGAAAGCAAGCCAAGCCUUGUUCCCUUGGACUGCUGUCACUUGAAAUGGAUUCUUUGGCCCCCAGUUCCCCUCCCCUCCUUGGGCAGAAAGCCUGUUCAGUUUCUGGGCAUCUACUUUGAAUCAGCAGCUGUCCUAGGGAUGAGGCAACCCAUCAUAGCUUCUGGUUGCUGACAGGUGAGCAGAAAUGGGCAGAGGCAGAUGUAUGGAAGGAGUGGAGGAUUGAAGUGGUCCAGGAAGGGCUGAGAGUGAAAGUCCACUUAGACAGUGAGCCAGUAUACAGGAGUAGGCCAUGAGCUGGGGGCAGGGGAUGGACACUGUGGCAGAUGUGGUCUCUGCCCUGAGAAACUUCUGCCCUUUGAGGGCAUGGGGAGCAGGCUCAGCUCCAGAAGAGGUGCUGGCAGAGCUGGGGCAAAGAUAGGGCAAGAUGGACCAGCUCAACCCAUGUGGGUCAGGUGGGAUAGACUCCAACUCCUGAGUCCAGAGCUGGCCUGAGACUCUGGCUAGCCAGCAACAGCACUGUGGUCCCUUGGAUGUAGUGACUGGUUCAGGGUGGGCAUGUGGCUGUGGCCAAUCCACUGGAGGGAAUCCCAAGCUGUUGUCAGAGCUGCAGGAAGAAGAGGUGCUGGACCCUAAUGAGACACUGGAGGCUGGAGCUGGUUGCGGGCUGUCUCUGCCAACAUGUGGGAGCACCGACCUGAGGGAAGUGACUUAGGAAAGCAAGGUCACAAGACAGACUCUGAAGGGCCUUCCUUGUACACCUGCACCCAGAGGGCCUGAGGCUCUGGAUGGAUGCCCCUGCUGGUAAGCCAGGCUGGGCUGAGUGUCCGGACAAGGUGAUGAAAGGAUGGGGCAGAGGGAAGCCGGUGCAGCCCAGGAACCAGUGAGUUUCACCGAGAGGAGGAGAACUGGAAUGCUCCAGUGUUUUCCUAGUUACUAAGCAGAUGAAGGACAGCUCUUGUGGUUUUAGAGAUGAGGGUGAGAGAAGGGACACACACCCAUUUGUGCCAAGCCAGACAACAGAUUUGCACAGGUACCUGCAUGAAUCUACAGACCACACACACACCAGAAACACACACACAUGCACAAUACACACGUUUUGAAAGAUUUAAAAAUGUGCCCCCAAAACA